ACUCACAGUUCUGCAUGGCUGGGGAGGCCACAGGAAACUUACAGUCAUGGUGGAAGGUAAAGGGGAAGCAGGCACCUUCUUCACAAGGGCGGCAGGAUAGAGUGAGUGCAAGCUGGGGAAAUGCCAGAUGCUUAUAAAACCAUCAGAUAUCAUGAGAACUCACUAUCACAAGAACAGCAUGGGGGAACUGCACCCGUGAUCCAAUUACCUCCACCUGGUCCUGACCUUGACACAUGGGGAUUGUGGUGAUUACAGUUCCAGGUGGGAUUUGGGUGGGAACACAGAGCCAAACCAUAUCACUAUCUCUCCCCCUUACCCCCCUCUCUCUGCUAAAUCCUUUAUUGGUUCUAUUUCUCUGGAAAACCCUAAAUACAGUGGGAAAGAAGUAAACCUUUGUGUUGUAAGCCGCUGAGACUUUGGGGUUAUUUGUUACUAUAGCAUGAUCUGGCCUAUUCUAAUUUAUACAAUGGGAUUUUUUUUUUUUUUUUCUACAAACACUAAGGAAGUAGCAGGUGGAAGGCUGGACCUUAUGUUGCCAUCAGUAGGGGGGUUUCUAUAGUCUGAAAACCUAUGAGCCUUUUGGGUUACUCUUUGACUUGCACUUGGGCUUUGAUGUUGAUGCCAAGCAGUAUAUUUAUACUCCUCUAAAAUGUGUUUUUCUCUCUAUAAAUGGUAUUUUGUUAACUUUCACCAGCUCCAGUCUCAACUUUUGCCUCUAAUUUUUCCCAUAAUAUUCACUAACUCUAGUGAUAGCUGUCUAUGCACAUUGUACUGAGACUAAUUCAGAGAGUGUGUUGGAUGAAUUUUGAUUUUAUUUGUAUGUAACUGUCAAAAACUGUAUUUGAGGAAACAGUUGCACCCUUGGCAAAACCUGGAAGUCUCUAUGUUAACAGUUUUCUCAAUUUUUAUUUUAGGAAGCCAUUCUGCAUAUUAUGUUUUUAAAUAAAACGAUUUGACUUUAGGCUGACAAUUUAGCAUUUAACCGCUGUCUCCGUGCCAAUUGCACAAGAGCAGGGAUCUAGAUUAAUUAGAAAAAGCUCACUGGUUUCUGAUGGAGGGGGCAUUCAUAGAAACAACCCACUGACAACUAAGGAACUACUGCGAUGGGAUGGGCAGCCUGCAGCUUCACUCGGCGGGCAGCCUCCACAGGUACUUUAAUUCCUCGCUCUUCUGGCCAGGUGUCUCUUGGUAAAGGCAGGUAGAGGAAGCAAAGCAAUUACCUAGAUAAUUAAGGAAAAACAAACCUGUAUGUGGCAAUCAAGGAAAAACAAACCUGUCUGUGGCAGGUAACUUGGGGAGCUGCUUCUAAUUUUCUAGGCAACUAUUUUCAUUCUUCACUUCCCUGGUGUCAGCAGGAAUCUGAGCUAGAUCCCAAGAGCAACUUGAACAAUGACAAUGGUCUCAGUUGGCAAACCCGGCCUCAUAGGAGCUUCCCUCCUCAUUGAUCUAGAGUUUGAAAUAGCUUUGUCAGAUCUCAGGGGCGUGCUCCUACUGAUUUACAGCAAAAUCCCAAUAACGGCUGUGAAAAUGUUUAUCCAUUUGUGAAACUUCAGAAAGCGGGUCUAGCAUAUCAUUCUUGCCUGGUGAUUCUGGGGCAAGGUGAGAACUGUACCCUCACAGGCCGGGUGAGUAAGAUUCUAGUUGUGGUGGAGGCCAAGGAAGAAGACGUACUAUGUGUCAAUCUCUCUAGGAGGCAUUUGCUGUACCUUCCCCUCCUACACCUUCCUACAAGGCAGCUCCGACGACUUCUACUUUACAGAUGAGAAGAUGGAGCCUCCACAAGGCACACAGCUGGUAUCAUGUCUGAUUUCAGAUACAUACGAUGGUCUCAAGUGUGUUUUUCACGACCACCACUUCGUAGUCCUGUUGAUGCCGCUGCUGUUGAAGUCUAUGUGAAUGGUGCCCCCUGGUGGAAUGGAAAAGCCUUGAUCCUUGGGGAUGCCAAUUUUAUUUGCUAGUUCUGCUACCAGUGGAGGAUGUCCAGGUUCCUGGUGUCUUGAACAAAGAAUUGGACAAAAUGCACAAACAAAGCAAAGAAAGAAUGAAGCAACAAAAGCAGAGAUUUAUUGAAAUCAGAAGCAUACUCCGCAAGGUAGGAGUGGGCUGAGCAAGCGGCUCAAGGUCCUGGUUACCGAAUUUUCUAGAGUUUAAAUACCCUCUAGAGGCUUCCAUUGGUUACUUGGUGUACCAUCCUAUGCAGAUGAAAAGGCUAAAGUGAAGUUACAAAGUUAUUUACUUGGUGUACACCCUAUGCAGAUGAAGAGGAUGUUUCCUGUCAUAGCUGAAGUAGAGUCACAAAGUUAUUUACUUGGACUUAGAAGGCUGGGUUGGGGUUUUUCCAUUUAAUUUAGUUCUAGGAAGUCCUUAGAUUCCCUGCCUCCAGACCCUAUUUCCUGCCUAAGUUCCUAGUUCCAGUCCUUGGUUCUGGUUAAAAGUUUUCUACAGGCCACCUGAAUUUUAGAUGAAAGUUUCUUUCUGGUGAUGUGCUGGUAAAUGUUUAACAACUUACUCUUAGAGGAAGAAGAAAAACCUGAUUUGUAGCAUUUGCCAAUUUCUAUGGUGUAAAUACUACCACUAUGGUCAAUUUCAAACCCCCAAUGUGAUGCCAUGGAACUCAGAAUUGGAAAGGAAUGAACGUAACUGACUCUCACUAGCUGGCUCUACCACCCCCUUAAUCAGUCCUCUAACUCAUUUAUGGAAUGGAGAAAGCAACUUAAUUUGUUCUUAAUUUUUGCAUUUUGUCAUUCCCCCCGCACCCCCACCAUCCCUGGAAAACACACCAGGCUGAUCUCACAGUUCUUCUGGUGAUUUUUAGUCUUAAAAUAUUUACUAAAAUCUAAUACAAUUGCUUAUUCAAGUUAAAACUUCUCUAUUCAGUUUGUACUUGACCUCAUCUGUCAACUUACUGUUGAGCAGAACAACAUGUACCAGUUACCAAUGCCAGGGGAAGAUUCCAACUAUCUAGAGGAUAGACAAGGUCAUCAUAAUGCCAGCCACCUGUAAUAGAAAUCCAAACACUUCUGCCUACCAUAUCUUAGUAUUGGAGUCGCCAAGGAAAAUGCAAUAGUGUCAAGCACUGGCUGGAGCAACGCUUUUACUCACAUAGAGGAGACAGGGUGAAAUCAGCUCCAACAAGGUGCACAAGUCUUGCAUGGCUAGUGGACCCCUCUGGCAGCUAAUGCAGGGCAAGAGGUCUUCACAUACCCGUCUUGUACUGCAGUAGGAUGACGCUGACCCUUCCCCUGUGGGGCCUGAAAUACUGAAAGCUGGGGGUAUGCUUGAGGGCCAUUGACACACAUGCUUAAGACUAACAAAGGGGUCCACACAGAGCCUGGAACUUGGCAAGGAAGGGUUCCAGGCACAAGGCACAUUAUUAUGGGGCAGAACAUGGGGACUGCCUUUCAUCUCUGUUUUUUUGUCUUGCUCUUUUACUCCUCCCACACCCCUGCCCAUGCUGCUUCCUGUUUCUCCGGGGUUAAAGACUGUAGUGGUGCAAGGUAUUGGUGAGUGGGAGAGAAGGCCUUAUUUCUCUGCUAGACUUGGUGGGGCUGGGGAUGGCAGAUGUCCCUAGCUGCCUCUUUCUCUUAUGGUACACUAUUAUGGCUUCCUUGGAGAGUCCUCCCUGAAGAUCUCCAAUUCCAGUUUUCUGGCAAGGAGCUUCCUCUUCCAGCUGGCUGUUUUCUGUUUCCCCUCAGAUCCCUGGAUCUGGCUGUCUACAUCUAGCCUCUUUAUUCACUUUUGUCCUCUUCAACUGUAGACAUACAUCUGACAGCAAUAAAUCCUGCCGUUUGGCUGUGUCUCAGGCAGGCUGCCGCUGGACUUUCUAAGAGUGAGGCUGGUACCAUCCUGGAAGUUGACGGGACACGUCCUCCGCCUGGUUCCCUUAAAGCCAUCUUCUCUUCACUACAGGUGAGGAAGAGAAGUGCCACAACACAGAAUACCAGACACAUUCUUCAACUUCAAUCUCUUCAGCCUCUUGUGAACCCCAAAUAUCUGAGACAGGUCUCAAUCAAUUGAGAAAAUUUAUUUUGCUAAGGUUAAGGAUGCGCCUGCAACCCAACCUCAGGAGGUCCUGAUGACAUAUGCCCAAAGUGGUUGGGACGCAGUUGGUUUUAUACAUUUUAGGGAGACAUGGGACAUCAGUCAA